rnacentral:rRNA from 1 species
AGUGAACGCUGGCGGUAGGCCUAACACACGCAAGUCGAACGGCAGCACAGUAAGAGCUUGCUCUUACGGGUGGCGAGUGGCGGACGGGUGAGGAAUACAUCGGAAUCUACUUUUUCGUGGGGGAUAACGUAGGGAAACUUACGCUAAUACCGCAUACGACCUACGGGUGAAAGCAGGGGAUCUUCGGACCUUGCGCGAUUGAAUGAGCCGAUGUCGGAUUAGCUAGUUGGCGGGGUAAAGGCCCACCAAGGCGACGAUCCGUAGCUGGUCUGAGAGGAUGAUCAGCCACACUGGAACUGAGACACGGUCCAGACUCCUACGGGAGGCAGCAGUGGGGAAUAUUGGACAAUGGGCGCAAGCCUGAUCCAGCCAUACCGCGUGGGUGAAGAGGGCCUUCGGGUUGUAAAGCCCUUUUGUUGGGAAAGAAAAGCAGCAGGUUAAUACCCCGCUGUUCUGACGGUACCCAAAGAAUAAGCACCGGCUAACUUCGUG